GCUAAUACAUGCAAUUAGGUUUUGCUCAGUAAUGAGAAAAACGCUUUUAUUAGAUCAAAACCAAUCGAAUAGUUUACUAUUCGUUUUUUUGAUGACUCUGAAUAACACCGCAGAUCGCACAGUCUACGUACUGGCGAUAUAUCUUUCAAAUGCCUGACUUAUCAACUGUCGAUGGUAGAUUAUAUGUCUACCAUGGUUAUAACGGGUAACGGGGAAUCAGGGUUCGAUUCCGGAGAGGGAGCCUGAGAAACAGCUACCACAUCCAAGGAAGGCAGCAGGCACGCAAAUUACCCACUCCCGGCACGGGGAGGUAGUGACAAAAAAUAACGAUAUGGGACUCAUCCGAGGCCCCAUAAUCGGAAUGAGUACACUUUAAAUCCUUUCAUGAGGAUCCAUUGGAGGGCAAGCCUGGUGCCAGCAGCCGCGGUAAUUCCAGCUCCAAUAGCGUAUAUUAAAGUUGUUGCGGUUAAAAAGCUCGUAGUUGGUUCUGUGUGCCAUGCUGUUGGUUCACCGCCUGUCGGUGCAACUAACAUGUCAUGGAACGUCUUGUCGGUGGUAAUUAAAGACAUUAGUUCCUACCGCGGUGCUCUUCAUUGAGUGUCGAGGUCGGCCGACAAGUUUACUUUGAACAAAUUAGAGUGCUUAAAGCAGGCAAAAGUCUGCCUUGAAUAGUGGUGCAUGGAAUAAUAGAAUAGGACCUUGGUUCUAUUUUGCUGGUUUUCUGAAUCCAAGGUAAUGAUCAAUAUGGACAGGCGGGGGCAUUCGUAUUGCGACGUUAGAGGUGAAAUUCUUGGAUCGUCGCAAGACGAACUAGAGCGAAAGCAUUUGCCAAGUAUGUCUUAAUUGAUCAAGAACGAAAGUUAGAGGUUCGAAGGCGAUCAGAUACCGCCCUAGUUCUAACCAUAAACGAUGCCAGCUAGCGAUCCGCCGAUGUUUUUCUCAUGACUCGACGGGCAGCUCCCCGGGAAACCAAAGCUUUUGGGUUCCGGGGGAAGUAUGGUUGCAAAGCUGAAACUUAAAGGAAUUGACGGAAGGGCACCACCAGGAGUGGAGCUUGCGGUUUAAUUUGACUCAACACGGGAAACUUUAUCAGGCCCAGACAUUGGAAGGAUUGACAGAUUGAUAGCUCUUUCUUGAUUCAAUGGGUAGUGGUGCAUGGCCGUCCUUAGUUGGUGGAACGAUUUGUCUGGUUAAUUCCGAUAACGAACGAGACUCUAGCAUACUAACUAGACGCUUGGUAUUUUUGCUACCAGCGGUUUUAUUCUUCUUAGAGGGACAGGCGGCUUUUAGCCGCACGAGAUUGAGCAAUAACAGGUCAGGGAUGCCCUGAGAUGUUCUGGGCCGCACGCGUGCUACACUGAAGGAAUCAGCGUGUGUCUCCCUAUCCGAAAGGACCGGGUAACCCGCUGAACCUCCUUCGUGCUAGGAAUUGGGGCUUGCAAUUAUUCCCCAUAAACGAGGAAUUCCCAGUAAACGUGAGUCAUAAGCUCGCGUUGAUUACGUCCCUGCCCUUUGUACACACCGCCCGUCGCUACUACCGAUUGAAUGAUUUAGUGAGGUCUUCAGACUGUUAAUAAACGUAUAUUGCAU
rnacentral:rRNA from 1 species